GGACGAACGCUGGCGGCGUGCUUAACACAUGCAAGUCGAACGGGGAUAUUCAGAUGAGAGCUUCGGCAGGAAUCAGGGAUAUCGAGUGGCGGACGGGUGAGUAACGCGUGAACAAUCUGUCCCAGACAGGGGGAUAACACUUGGAAACAGGUGCUAAUACCGCAUGAGACCACAGUGUCGCAUGGCACAGGGGGUAAAAGGAGCGAUCCGGUUUGGGGUGAGUUCGCGUCCGAUUAGCCAGUUGCGGGGUAACGGCCCACCAAAGCGACGAUCGGUAGCCGACCUGAGAGGGUGAUCGGCCACAUUGGAACUGAGAGACGGUCCAAACUCCUACGGGAGGCAGCAGUGGGGAAUAUUGGGCAAUGGGCGAAAGCCCUGACCCAGCAACGCCGCGUGAGUGAAGAAGGCCUUCGGGUUGUAAAGCUCUGUUAUAGGGGACGAAGGAAGUGACGGUACCCUAUAAGGAAGCCCCGGCUAACUACGUGCCAGCCGCUGC
rnacentral:rRNA from 1 species